rnacentral:rRNA from 1 species
GCAGCGACGCCGCGUGAGCGACGAAGGCCUUCGGGUCGUAAAGCUCUGUUCUAAGGGACGAAGGGCCUGCUUGUAAAGAAUGAGUGGGUGUGACGGUACCUUAGGAGAAAGCCCCGGCUAACUACGUGCCAGCAGCCGCGGUAAUACGUAGGGGGCGAGCGUUGUCCGGAAUUACUGGGCGUAAAGAGCGUGUAGGCGGACUAUUAAGUCAGGUGUGAAAGACCGGGGCUCAACCCCGGGAUUGCACUUGAAACUGGAAGUCUUGAGGGCAGGAGAGGAAAGUGGAAUUCCUGGUGUAGCGGUGAAAUGCGUAGAUAUCAGGAGGAACACCAGUGGCGAAGGCGGCCUUCUGGGGCUUGACUGACACUGAGGCGCGAAAGCGUGGGGAGCAAACAGGAUUAGAUACCCCGGUAGUCCAAGCC